rnacentral:piRNA from 1 species
UGGNGCCUGACCUAGACUGAGGAGCAGU